CCAGAGAACUUAGCAGAGAUGCUUUGGUGCCUUCGGGAACUCUGAGACAGGUGCUGCAUGGCUGUCGUCAGCUCGUGUUGUGAAAUGUUGGGUUAAGUCCCGCAACGAGCGCAACCCUUAUCCUUUGUUGCCAGCGGCUCGGCCGGAAACUCAAAGGAGACUGCCGGUGAUAAACCGGAGGAAGGUGGGGAUGACGUCAAGUCAUCAUGGCCCUUACGGCCAGGGCUACACACGUGCUACAAUGGCGCAUACAAAGAGAAGCGACCUCGCGAGAGCAAGCGGACCUCACAAAGUGCGUCGUAGUCCGGAUUGGAGUCUGCAACUCGACUCCAUGAAGUCGGAAUCGCUAGUAAUCGUAGAUCAGAAUGCUACGGUGAAUACGUUCCCGGGCCUUGUACACACCGCCCGUCACACCAUGGGAGUGGGUUGCAAAAGAAGUAGGUAGCUUAACCUUCGGGAGGGCGCUUACCACUUUGUGAUUCAUGACUGGGGUGAAGUCGUAACAAGGUAGGCGUAGCGAG
rnacentral:rRNA from 1 species